rnacentral:rRNA from 1 species
UGGGGGAUAUUGCACAAUGGGGGAAACCCUGAUGCAGCGACGCCGCGUGGAGGAAGAAGGUUUUCGGAUUGUAAACUCCUGUCGUUAGGGACGAUAAUGACGGUACCUAACAAGAAAGCACCGGCUAACUACGUGCCAGCAGCCGCGGUAAAACGUAGGGUGCAAGCGUUGUCCGGAAUUACUGGGUGUAAAGGGAGCGCAGGCGGACCGGCAAGUUGGAAGUGAAAACUAUGGGCUCAACCCAUAAAUUGCUUUCAAAACUGCUGGCCUUGAGUAGUGCAGAGGUAGGUGGAAUUCCCGGUGUAGCGGUGGAAUGCGUAGAUAUCGGGAGGAACACCAGUGGCGAAGGCGACCUACUGGGCACCAACUGACGCUGAGGCUCGAAAGCAUGGGUAGCAAACAGGAUUAGAUACCCUGGUAGUCCAUGCCGUAAACGAUGAUUACUAGGUGUUGGAGGAUUGACCCCUUCAGUGCCGCAGUUAACACAAUAAGUAAUCCACCUGGGGAGUACGACCGCAAGGUUGAAACUCAAAGGAAUUGACGGGGGCCCGCACAAGCAGUGGAGUAUGUGGUUUAAUUCGACGCAACGCGAAGAACCUUACCAGGUCUUGACAUCCUGCGACGGUGCUAGAAAUAGUAUUUUCCUUCGGGACGCAGAGACAGGUGGUGCAUGGUUGUCGUCAGCUCGUGUCGUGAGAUGUUGGGUUAAGUCCCGCAACGAGCGCAACCCUUAUGGUCAGUUACUACGCAAGAGGACUCUGGCCAGACUGCCGUUGACAAAACGGAGGAAGGUGGGGAUGACGUCAAAUCAUCAUGCCCUUUAUGACUUGGGCUACACACGUACUACAAUGGCGUUAAACAAAGAGAAGCAAGACCGCGAGGUGGAGCAAAACUCAGAAACAACGUCCCAGUUCGGACUGCAGGCUGCAACUCGCCUGCACGAAGUCGGAAUUGCUAGUAAUCGCAGAUCAGCAUGCUGCGGUGAAUACGUUCCC